AUUACAGUACUUCAGAAGACUUUCUGAACUUGCCAGGCAACCCUCCCCCUAGACUUUGGGGACAGAGGAGCUUAAAUUUAUAUUUCCAGUGUCACACAAGGAGAAAGAAUGGAGUUGGCUGCUUUGUCCAAGUAAUGAAAAUCAAUGCUGUGUUGUUCUUGGAAGGAGCGCUCAAAAGGAAAGCCUGGCAUAUAGAUCUUGGUUUAGAGACAGAUUUUGCCUAGGAAGACUGUGCCCAGGGGAAGAUACAGGAAGAAGGAGAAGAGGUGAUGCUACAAGCUUCCUGACCUCCAGAGUGGGACUGAAGCUUUGUAACAAGAUUUAUCUGGAAAAUGUGACUGACAGGAGCAGCUUACUCACCAUUAGAUAAGUAUUGGAGAUGACUCAUGCUGGAGUAUUGGUAGCUGUGCUGCUGAGAUGGAUAUCCUGUUGUAUAACUGCUAUAGUGUGAUGCCAAGAACCAGGAACCUUAAUUUCACUAUCCAGGCUUUUCUGUGAAAGUGCUUUGGGUCUUUGGCACCUUUUCUCCUUGGUUUGUCCAUCUAAAGGGCUCACAAGGGGAGGUUUUGCUUCCCCCAGUGGGGUACAGGGUAUGGGGCAGCUCAUGUUACCUUGAAAUGAAAGCUAAUUGAAAGGCUGUAGCUUUAUUGCUGUUCUUCAGGACGUGCAAUAUUUGUCUUUUUCAUAGAUGUCAUUAGCAUCUUUCUUCGAUUCUUUGGUUUUUUUUGUUUUGUUUGUGUUUUUUCAGAGCCAUUAAACCCUUUCUUCAGUGGAACAAACCAGAAGGUCCAGAAACAGAUUUUCUAACUAUGGAAGCUCUUCUGAGGAGCCACAUUAUGUGCUGCUGCCCCUGGGAUGGGAUGCAGAGCAAGGAGUGAAGAAGAGCUGUGAUGUGCUACUGAAAAUUGCUUUAGACAACAGAUGCUAUUUCCUGUUAGAGAUGCUUUAUAUGCAAAUCAAAGUGGUACAACAAGAAAAAAGUCCUGAAAGCAAUCACACCGAUAAACUCAGCCCACUGGGGAAUUCCUGCUUAUCAUUUAUCUUUUCUUUUUUCAGUUCUGUGCAAGAUACUUCUUUGCCUGUGCUUUCUUACAGUCUUUAAUGUUUGUCCUGCCAGACCUCUUGCUUAUGGACUACAGUGCUUGCAUUUUGCAGGGCUCUAUGUCAGCCUGCACAAACAAAAGGCAGUAAGUGCUGGAAAUUGGGGUUAACAGUCCCUGUGUUUCAGCUUGAUCUUGCAUUGAUCUGGUGCUUUCUGAAGUUCAAGCCAGACAUGAGCCUCACACUACAGAUUGCCAUGUGCCUGUUGUGAUGAUCUGCUUGGAAAGGUGAUCCCAGAAACCUCAGGAAUGAAAAAAAAAGAGAGCUAAAAAACAAAAAGAAGCCAGCAAAAAAAUUUACCUAGUAACUUAAACAGGAGCAGGAUUUGACCUGAGGCACCUCAGGAGAUGGUGUGGGCA
rnacentral:lncRNA from 1 species